AUUGAACGCUGGCGGCAUGCCUUACACAUGCGAGUCGAGCGGCAGCGCGGGGGCAACCCUCGCGGCGAGCGGCCAACGGGCGGGUGAUUCAUCGGAACGUAUCCUCGCGUGGGGGCUAAGCCAGCGAAGGUUGGGCUAAUACCGCAAGAGCUCAGAGGAGGAAAGCGGGGGACCUGCGGGGGCCUCGCGCUGGAGGGGCGGCCGAUGUCCGAUUAGCUAGUUGGUGGGGUAAAGGCUUACCAAGGCGACGAUCGGUAGCUGGUCUGAGAGGAUGAUCAGCCACACUGGAACUGAGACACGGCCCAGACUCCUACGGGAGGCAGCAGUGGGGAAUUUUGGACAAUGGGGGCAAGCCUGAUCCAGCCAUGCCGCGUGAGUGAAGAAGGCCUUCGGGUUGUAAAGCUCUUUUGUUCGGAACGAAAAGGGGUGGACUAAUACUCCUGUGUGAUGACGGUACCGAAAGAAGAAGCACCGGCUAACUACGUG
rnacentral:rRNA from 1 species